UCACAGCCAAACGGAGUCACAGCCAAACGGAGUCACAGCCAAACGGAGUCCACACUGAAACAGAGUCACAGCCAAACAGAGUCCACACUGAAACAGAGUCACAGCCAAACGGAUCCACACUGAAACAGAGUCACAGCCAAACGGAGUCCACACUGAAACAGAGUCACAGCCAAACAAAGUCACAGCCAAACAGAGUCACAGCCAAACAGAGUCACAGCCAAACAGAGUCACAGCCAAACGGAGUCCACACUGAAACAAAGUCA